GUUGCAGUUAAAAAGCUCGUAGUUGGAUUUCGGAGUGGGCCAGUUGGUCCGCCGCAAGGUGUGUUACUGACUGGUUUGCUCUUCUGCGCAAAGACUGCGUGUGCUCUUUGUUGAGUGUGCGUAGGAUUUACGUCGUUUACUUUGAAAAAAUUAGAGUGUUCAAAGCAGGCUAUUGCUUGGAUACAUGAGCAUGGAAUAAUGGAAUAGGACUUUGGUCCCAUUUUGUUGGUUUCUAGGACCGAAGUAAUGAUUAAGAGGGACAAUUGGGGGCAUCCGUAUUUCGUUGUCAGAGGUGAAAUUCUUGGAUUUGCGAAAGACGAACAACUGCGAAAGCACUUGCCAAGAGUGUUUUCAUUAAUCAAGAACGAAAGUUAGAGGAUCGAAGACGAUCAGAUACCGUCCUAGUUCUAACCAUAAACGAUGUCGACUAGGGAUCAGCGGGCGUUAUCGUACGACCCCGUUGGCACCUUAC
rnacentral:rRNA from 1 species